GCGCGUCCAGAAUCAGUAAAUGUUAGCAGCGCUUCAGUGUCUCACACUCAGACAUCAGUGCGGGCGACGGGGGACAAGGGCCAACCGCAAAAAGCAAAGCUGACGCAGACAUCGUUCAAAUGGUCAGAGAUGUCGCUGUAUGAUGGUCGCGACGGCCGCCCGCUCUAUAUUGUCGUUGAUAACAUCGUGUAUGACGUCACAGAGCUGAAUGCAUAUUAUUCACCAGACAGUUCAGGCGGAGACACAUUGGCAGUGCGUUCCGCCGGCCUGCCCCCGUACAUUUCAGAGGACACCUUACAACCGUAUAAAGUUGGUGUAAUCGU